ensembl:lncRNA
CACGUGGAUAGCUGGCACUGGCUAGCGGAGACCCUGUUUUCUUCGUGCUCGUGGUUGGGCCAAAAUCGGCUCAGGCAGCAGAAAAAUCACCCGUGCUUUUUUGCAUCCGGGCCUCGGAGGCUGCACUGAGGGCACAGUCGUCUGUGAACAAAACCGAUCACACGCCAGCUCUCCCUCCACUUCGGUCUUGGCUUGCAGCUCGUUUUACUUUCAUGGACUUUGAGUCGGGAAGACCUUCAGGCAGUCACCAGCUUCGCGGCCCCAGGCUACUCACGUCCCUUCCCUCAGCUUCCCCACCUGUAAAAUGGGGAUGAUGACAGUCUCCGCGGCCCAAGGUCGUGGGGAGGGUGGAGACAGAUGCUUAGUAUUUGCAAAGCGUUCUGCAAAUGUCAAAGGGCACAGGGAAGGAAACUGACGGCCUAGGAAGGGAAGGAGUAGAGUCGCCUCGCGAUCAGGGGCGAGGUCUCCUCAGGGAGAAAGCCAGAGGCCAGCUUCCAGUCCCGGCGGCUCCCGGGCUGCACGUGGCCCCGGGCUGCACGUGGCCCCGGGCUGCACGUGGCCCCGGGCUUCACGCGCAUGCUCAGGGAGGGUGCACGUGGCCUCCUCACCACCCCACGUGGUCUCCCGGUCCCGUGUGCGCUCCGGAAGGAGGUCACGCGGGCCCUCUUCCCCAUAACCUGCUGUUCCCAGACCCAGGCCGCCCGCGCACCCGGGCGCAGGCGCAGCUGAGUACUCAGGGGCUCGCCAGCGCCCCCUGCGGAGCGGAGCGGAGCACGGCGCAGCCUCGGGCAGAGGAGCGCCUCCCUACGGACCGCAGCGAGGUCUGGUAAGCUGCUUUCAGAUUAUCUGUUCAUCUACACCACCCUGUAUGUCUUCAUCUCAUGGAUCAUCCUCAGAUGGAACCACAAAGCCAUCUUUUACUCCCCGAACUGAGGGAAUGUUUCCUUCCUCUCCUGCAUGUAAGGUUCAGGGGAGGGCAGAGGGAUAGAGGUGGCCAAGGCACCUUCCUCUGGG